GAGUUCAAAGUGAAAGGCUAUUUUUCGUUAUGCUAUAAGGGCUCUGAAAAAAUAUACUUCGAUAAAAUUUCCUGGACACAAGUCUUUCAUUCUCCAUAUGUAUCCUAAUUAUAUUGUUUAAAAGUUUGCACUACUUGGACUGCUUUUCUAGAGAAAUAAAUGUCAUUGUCAACACCCAUAAGGAAACUCAUUAUAACCACGUAUAGCUUAUAGAUUCUUUAAAUGUCAAAACAUGGAUAAAGAAUGUUUUUAAUUGUCCAUUUUGAGGUUUCAUAUAAUGUUAUUAUUUCUCAGAGCAUUGGGAUUUGGUGAGGAAGCAUUGCAAUCUCUUCCAGGGAAUGUUGGGUCUCUCAGUUUUCUGCCAGCAAGGAUAUAAGAGGGAGACAGUUGCAUGAAAUUGCAGAGCAAAUAAGUCUAAUCUUCCUGAGGUUUUGAGGCACAUCAUGUCUUUCCUUUCGGAAAUCAUUUUGUACUGAAUAUAAAACCUGGGAAAAUGUGAUGGUGUUAUAAAUAUCAGAUCUGUGCAAAAUUUACGAUAAGAUAUUACAGAUAUUGGGUCAUGCGGGUUUCGAGUUCAUCUCCUCUAUGUCAUCAGGCUAUGAUCUCUCCGGCCUAUUCGAGACCAAUCAGAAAACGGUCGCAGUGUUCACUUCCAAGUGUUCUGCGUCGAUUAUGGUCAACAUCGCCAUGGCGGCCAAAGGACUGAGUUUCAUGGUGACGGAGGUGAAGGACUUCAAAAUCCGACUCCAAGAGACGGUCGUAGAAAAGAAGAGACAACUCGCGAUCACAACGGAGGUCUUUGAGGUGGUAUCAGAGGUGGCUGUGACAGAGUCAGAGAAAGAGGGAGGAAGAAGAGCAGAAAAAUAUUGACUAAAAGAAAAAUGACAUGACACACUAUUAUUAGUCACCUCAUUUUAUUUUUAAUGCCGUUAAUUUUAGAGAACCCUAAAAAUUAAAACAAAAAAUAAAACGCUUCUUUAUUAUACUAGUAAAAAGGUAUUUAGGUCUUAACUUUAUUUAUGAGUACUUUUAAUUCUUUGAUUAUAUUUAUUUUUGUAAAAUAUAUUAUGCUGUUUUUCCAUGA